rnacentral:rRNA from 1 species
AUUGAACGCUGGCGGUAGGCCUAACACAUGCAAGUCGAGCGGAUGAAGGGAGCUUGCUCCUGGAUUCAGCGGCGGACGGGUGAGUAAUGCCCAGGAAUCUGCCUGGUAGUGGGGGAUAACGUCCGGAAACGGGCGCUAAUACCGCAUACGUCCUGAGGGAGAAAGUGGGGGAUCUUCGGACCUCACGCUAUCAGAUGAGCCUAGGUCGGAUUAGCUAGUUGGUGGGGUAAAGGCCUACCAAGGCGACGAUCCGUAACUGGUCUGAGAGGAUGAUCAGUCACACUGGAACUGAGACACGGUCCAGACUCCUACGGGAGGCAGCAGUGGGGAAUAUUGGACAAUGGGCGAAAGCCUGAUCCAGCCAUGCCGCGUGUGUGAAGAAGGUCUUCGGAUUGUAAAGCACUUUAAGUUGGGAGGAAGGGCAGUAAGUUAAUACCUUGCUGUUUUGACGUUACCAACAGAAUAAGCACCGGCUAACUUCGUG